rnacentral:tRNA from 1 species
GAGGGUAUAAGUCAGUGGUAGAGUGCAUGCUUAGCAUGCACGAGGUCCUGGGUUCAAACCCCAGUGCCUCCA